CGGACGGGUGAGUAAUGUCUGGGAAACUGCCUGAUGGAGGGGGAUAACUACUGGAAACGGUAGCUAAUACCGCAUAACGUCGCAAGACCAAANAGGGGGACCUUCGGGCCUCUUGCCAUCAGAUGUGCCCAGAUGGGAUUAGCUAGUAGGUGGGGUAACGGCUCACCUAGGCGACGAUCCCUAGCUGGUCUGAGAGGAUGACCAGCCACACUGGAACUGAGACACGGUCCAGACUCCUACGGGAGACAGCAUG
rnacentral:rRNA from 1 species